GACGAGCGCUGGCGGCGUGCUUAACACAUGCAAGUCGAACGGAAAGGCCCUGCUUUUGUGGGGUGCUCGAGUGGCGAACGGGUGAGUAACACGUGAGUAACCUGCCCUUGACUUUGGGAUAACUUCAGGAAACUGGGGCUAAUACCGGAUAGGAGCUCCUGCUGCAUGGUGGGGGUUGGAAAGUUUCGGCGGUUGGGGAUAGACUCGCGGCUUAUCAGCUUGUUGGUGGGGUAGUGGCUUACCAAGGCUUUGACGGGUAGCCGGCCUGAGAGGGUGACCGGCCACAUUGGGACUGCGAUACGCCCCAGACUCCUACGGGCGGCAGCAGUGGGGAAUAUUGCACAAUGGGCGGAAGCCUGUUGCAGCAACGCCGCGUGCGGGAUGCCGGCCUUCGGGUUGUAAACCGCUUUCGCCUGUGACGAAGCGUGAGUGACGGUACUGGGUCAAGAAGCACCGGCUAACUACGUG
rnacentral:rRNA from 1 species